UACGUAGGGGGCAAGCGUUGUCCGGAUUUAUUGGGCGUAAAGAGCGUGUAGGCGGCCUUACAGGUCAGCUGUGAAAACUCGAGGCUCAACCUCGAGACGCCGGUUGAAACCAUCUGGCUAGAGUCCGGAAGAGGAGAGUGGAGUUCCUGGUGUAGCGGUGAAAUGCGCAGAUAUCAGGAAGAACACCCGUGGCUAAGGCGGCUCUCUAGUACGGUACUGACGCUGAGACGCGAAAGCGUGGGGAGCGAACAGG
rnacentral:rRNA from 1 species